rnacentral:rRNA from 1 species
CACGUAAGGGGCGAGCGUUGUCCGGAAUCACUGGGCGUAAAGGGCGCGUAGGCGGCCGUACAAGUCAGAGGUGAAAGCUAUGGGCUCAACCCAUAAAUUGCCUUUGAAACUGUGCGGCUUGAGUUCUGCAGGGGAAAGUGGAAUUCAUGGUGUAGCGGUGAAAUGCGUAGAUAUCAUGGAGAACACCUAUGGCGAAGGCAGCUUUCUGGGCAGAAACUGACGCUGAGGCGCGAAAGCUAGGGGAGCGAACAGG